UUAUAGGGAAGAACAAAUGUGUAWAGUAACUGUGCACAUCUUGACGGUACCUGAUCAGAAAGCACGGCUAACUACGUGCCAGCAGCCGCGGUAAUACGUAGGUGGCAAGCGUUAUCCGGAAUUAUUGGGCGUAAAGCGCGCGUAGGCGGUUUUUUAAGUCUGAUGUGAAAGCCCACGGCUCAACCGUGGAGGGUCAUUGGAAACUGGAAAACUUGAGUGCAGAAGAGGAAAGUGGAAUUCCAUGUGUAGCGGUGAAAUGCGCAGAGAUAUGGAGGAACACCAGUGGCGAAGGCGACUUUCUGGUCUGUAACUGACGCUGAUGUGCGAAAGCGUGGGGAUCAAACAGGAUUAGAUACCCUGGUAGUCCACGCCGUAAACGAUGAGUGCUAAGUGUUAGGGGGKUUCCGCCCCUUAGUGCUGCAGCUAACGCAUUAAGCACUCCGCCUGGGGAGUACGACCGCAAGGUUGAAACUCAAAGGAAUUGACGGGGACCCSCMCAAGCGGUGGAGCAUGUGGUUUAAUUCGAAGCAACGCGAAGAACCUUACCAAAUCUUGACAUCCUUUGACCGCUCUAGAGAUAGAGUCUUCCCCUUCGGGGGACAAAGUGACAGGUGGUGCAUGGUUGUCGUCAGCUCGUGUCGUGAGAUGUUGGGUUAAGUCCCGCAACGAGCGCAACCCUAAGCUUAGUGCCAUCAUAAG
rnacentral:rRNA from 1 species